GGAUAUAGCUCAGUGGUAGAGCAUGUGCUUAGCAGGCGUGAGGUCCUGGGUUCAAUCCCCCAGUGCGUCCA
rnacentral:tRNA from 1 species